UUUAUCCCUGUUAGCAAAACUAUGGUUGCUCUUCUUACUGACGUUGGCAGGAUGAAAAUACAUCGGUGCUAAGUGCUGCUUCUUUCACAGGAAGAGACUUCAUACCUGCAGCAAACAUUGAAGAGACAAAUGUUACUUCAGAUAACUUCAGUGACAGAACAUGGCAGAAGAGUGGUGGGUUCAGGAAAGGAACCUGGGUGAGAGCAGAGGGAGAGGCAUCUGUCACCAGUUGGUGCAGCAGAGGGAUGGAGAAGCCCAGGUGAGCUGGGCUCUGCCUGGCCACAGGACGGGAAGAUGGUCA